CUUUUUUUUCUCAAUUCUCUUCUCUCUCGACCUCCAUCUCGAAACCCUCUCAAUUCCACUCGGUCACCCCUACAUCAACACCUUCUUCUCUCUCGACUUGACCCUCCAUCUCCUGCAUCAACACCUUCUAAUCUCGAUUCUCAAGUCUCUAUUUUGAUUUUUAAUUUUUUGUUAUGAUUCCACCAGCCACCCUUGCAUCAACAUCUUUUCUGUUUUGAUCCCACUAACUGCUGUCGUCCACACCAGCAACUCAAAUUUUCCGAUCCUCAAGGCACAAAAUCACGAUCUUUGUUUCUCAAUCGGACAUCUGUCCGACUCCGAUCUAUUUUUCUGGCACCAUCACAAAAUUUACCUAUAACUACUAGUGAUUCGCAAUGAGCAAGAGCAACGAUUCCAAUGAUGAUGUUAUUGAGAUACCUUCACCACCACCAAAAGAUCAUCAAAGCCUGCAAAUGGAAGAAAGAGGAAAAACUAAUCUAUAGUAUGGGAUCACUUUACUAAAUGUUCUAAAUAUAGUGAUGAUAUCCUCAUGCAUGUCAUGUUGGGUUUUAUGUCCAAGA